rnacentral:rRNA from 1 species
CUACGGGGUGCAGCAGUGAGGAAUAUUGCACAAUGGAGGAAACUCUGAUGCAGCAACGCCGCGUGGAGGAUGACGCAUUUCGGUGUGUAAACUCCUUUUAUAUGUCAAGAAAAUGACGGUAGCAUAUGAAUAAGCACCGGCUAACUCCGUGCCAGCAGCCGCGGUAAUACGGAGGGUGCAAGCGUUACUCGGAAUCACUGGGCGUAAAGGACGCGUAGGCGGGAUAUCAAGUCAGGUGUGAAAUCCUACAGCUUAACUGUAGAAAUGCACUUGAAACUGGUAACCUAGAGUAUGGGAGGGGGAGAUGGAAUUAGUGGUGUAGGGGUAAAAUCCGUAGAUAUCACUAGGAAUACCUAAAGCGAAGGCGAUCUCCUGGAACAUAACUGACGCUAAGGCGUGAAAGCGUGGGGAGCAAACAGGAUUAGAUACCCCCGUAGUC